GACGAACCGUGCGAACGUUAUUCGGAAUCACUGGGCUUAAAGCGCGUGUAGGCGGAUGGGAACGUCGGUAGUUGAAAGCCCCCGGCUCAACCGGGGAAGUGGUGCCGAAACGACCCGUCUGGAGGGACGUAGGGGGACCUGGAACUUCCGGUGGAGCGGUGAAAUGCGUUGAGAUCGGAAGGAACGCCCGUGGCGAAAGCGAGAUCCUGGACGUCUACUGACGCUGAGACGCGAAAGCUAGGGGAGCAAACGGG
rnacentral:rRNA from 1 species